UACGUAGGGCGCAAGCGUUGUCCGGAAUUAUUGGGCGUAAAGAGCUCGUAGGCGGUUUGGUAGGUCCGCUGUGAAAACUCGAGGCUCAACCUCGAGACGCCGGUGGAAACCAUCAGACUAGAGUCCGGAAGAGGAGAGUGGAAUUCCUGGUGUAGCGGUGAAAUGCGCAGAUAUCAGGAAGAACACCCGUGGCUAAGGCGGCUCUCUAGUACGGUACUGACGCUGAGACGCGAAAGCGUGGGGAGCGAACAGG
rnacentral:rRNA from 1 species